rnacentral:rRNA from 1 species
GACGGAGGGUGCUAGCGUUGUUCGGAAUGACUGGGCGUAAAGGGCGCGUAGGCGGCCGGUUGCGUCGGAUGUGAAAGCCCGGGGCUCAACCCCGGAACGGCAUCCGAUACGGGCUGGCUUGAGACCGAGAGAGGUGAGUGGAAUACCCAGUGUAGAGGUGAAAUUCGUAGAUAUUGGGUGGAACACCGGUGGCGAAAGCGGCUCACUGGCUCGGUUUUGACGCUGAGGCGCGAAAGCUGGGGGAGCAAACGGG